AACAAGGCAGAUGCUUAAUCGCUUAUAAUUGCUUCUGACUUUUUAUGGUGCAAAGAGAGUGAAGACAUCUUUCUUUGAGCACAAUAGGAUUUUGUAGUUUGAUUCAUAAGAUAACAUGUGUUCGUUUCGUUCUUUGUUUUGUCAUCACAUUUGCCUAGCAUCUACCUCCUCUUCACUAGGUAAUCUCUCUCAGCCAGGCCUUUUGUUCAUUGCUUCUCAUAAUAUUUCUCAUUUCGGUGGGUCACUAAUCUGUUUUUUCGUCAUUUUUGUUUUUUAUUUACUUUUGGUUUUCAUGGUAGAAAAUUGUGGAGUUCCAUUGCUCGCAUGCUGCACACUUUGAAAUGGAGUUUGGGUGCUCAAAAUGUGAGAGGGAUAAACUUUGCUUCCCAUAGUACCAUUAAGAAAGCGUGAUUCUUUUGCAAGCAAUUUCUUAGUAGAAUAAUUAUGACUUAUGAGUCAUUCCUUCAUUUGUUUCUUCUUUUCUACGGCCAGAGAAAUAAUCAAGGUAUUUCUUGGAAAAGAACAGAUUAGUCGGGACUGCAAUCAACCUGCGGAUUGAUUAGACAAGAAAGGAGCUUUCACACCAUC
rnacentral:lncRNA from 1 species